GUUUCACUGCUGGUUUGUGGGUAUUUGUGUCCGUGUGAGUGUUUGUCGCCACACGGUACUGUUUCGGUUUCGUUCAUUGUCACAUUUAUUGUUUUGUAUCAUGAACACUUACCAUGCUGCAUCUUGUUCCGAUCCUUAUUCCUCUUCAGACGAAGAGGAGAUCUGCCGUUACAGUGUGUGGCAGUACAACUUACCUUCCUUUGUGGCCUCAUACAGGUGAACGCACACACACCCUGUCAAUUGUCUCUGUUACUCUACAGAUACUGUUGUUUUUGUUGGGGUGUGUGUAGCUGGCUGUCUCAGUCCCUGUUGAGUGGCUACACCAUGGCACCAGCGCUCCAUAUCAACAUCCACCAGCUGCCUCUACUCUUGGCAUCCCAACCUACAGGCAGAGUGGCAUUCUGGUUGUAGGCUGGGCUGUUCUGGUCAUCUCUAUGGUGAUCCUGGUGGGACUCAAGAUGCUGAAUAGACUCUUCAAGAUGAAGUUGCCCAUUCCAUGGGAGCUGGUGCUGAUAAUCCUGGCCACCUUCCUGUCGGUGCAGUUGGAGUAAUCCUGGCCACCUUCCUGUCGGUGCAGUUGGAGUUGUGUCAAGGUAGUAGGACACAUACCCACUGGGUCAGUCUUACUGUCUCCAUCUGUUUGUGCAAUGUAGAGAAAUAAUAGUGAAAGUGAAUUUAUUUGUGAUAUAAAUGUUCUCCCACAAACAUGGUUACACCUUGGACAGCAACCAGGUAACUGAGAAAUGAGCUCUCAUAAUGAACUCACUAUCCUCACUCCACUGUCAGAAGAACCAGUUUUUCUCUCCCCCUAUUUCACUGCUAUAAGUGGUCUCCCUGCUGUAGGAACCUGUUUGGCGAUAGGCCUCUGCAACACAAUUGGAGGGAUGUGUUUCGCUGUCAGCUGAUCCUUGCCACACAGUACGGUCCAAGGGAGUGUUGGGGUGAAAACUCAGGUAGUGAUGUUAAAUGUGGGAAUAUGUAGUCCAUAGUUGGCUGCAUUGUCACUAGACUAAACUCUGGCACAAAUAAAUACU